UAUGGGGGGAGAGAGCUUCCUUCGGCCCACUCAUGGGUGGCAAUAUUAAGGGGUUGAAUUAGCUGCCGACUCAUUCACUCAAUCACUCAGUAGAGAUCUAAAAUGACGCGGUGGGUCGUUCUUGCUGUGAUCGUCGAUUGGCAUCCUCUUAAGCGUAAAAUUCUACUGCUUGACUGUGUGAAUGAUGCGGGAGAUACUUCUCGCCCCUCCUUUUCUAUGCUUGGACUGAAGGGAGCUCCUUUCUCUCGAUUU
rfam:Punica granatum cultivar Dabenzi scaffold70, whole genome shotgun sequence.